GAACUGCGAUAAGUAAUGUGAAUUGCAGAAUUCAGUGAAUCAUCGAGUCUUUGAACGCACAUUGCGCCCCCUGGCAUUCCGGGGGGCAUGCCUGUCCGAGCGUCAUUGCUGCCCUUCAAGCCCGGCUUGUGUGUUGGGUCGUCGUCCCCUCCGGGGGACGGGCCCGAAAGGCAGCGGCGGCACCGCGUCCGGUCCUCGAGCGUGGGGCUUUGUCACCCGCUCGAUAAGGACCGGCCGGGCGCCAGCCGGCGUCUCCAACCUUUUUUUCUCAGGUUGACCUCGGAUCAGGUAGGGAUACCCGCUGAACUUAAGC
rnacentral:misc_RNA from 1 species